UGUGAGCUCGAUGAGUAGGGCGGGACACGUGGUAUCCUGUCUGAAUAUGGGGGGACCAUCCUCCAAGGCUAAAUACUCCUGACUGACCGAUAGUGAACCAGUACCGUGAGGGAAAGGCGAAAAGAACCCCGGCGAGGGGAGUGAAAAAGAACCUGAAACCGUGUACGUACAAGCAGUGGGAGCACGCUUAGGCGUGUGACUGCGUACCUUUUGUAUAAUGGGUCAGCGACUUAUAUUCUGUAGCAAGGUUAACCGAAUAGGGGAGCCGAAGGGAAACCGAGUCUUAACUGGGCGUUAAGUUGCAGGGUAUAGACCCGAAACCCGGUGAUCUAGCCAUGGGCAGGUUGAAGGUUGGGUAACACUAACUGGAGGACCGAACCGACUAAUGUUGAAAAAUUAGCGGAUGACUUGUGGCUGGGGGUGAAAGGCCAAUCAAACCGGGAGAUAGCUGGUUCUCCCCGAAAGCUAUUUAGGUAGCGCCUCGUGAAUUCAUCUCCGGGGGUAGAGCACUGUUUCGGCAAGGGGGUCAUCCCGACUUACCAACCCGAUGCAAACUGCGAAUACCGGAGAAUGUUAUCACGGGAGACACACGGCGGGUGCUAACGUCCGUCGUGAAGAGGGAAACAACCCAGACCGCCAGCUAAGGUCCCAAAGUCAUGGUUAAGUGGGAAACGAUGUGGGAAGGCCCAGACAGCCAGGAUGUUGGCUUAGAAGCAGCCAUCAUUUAAAGAAAGCGUAAUAGCUCACUGGUCGAGUCGGCCUGCGCGGAAGAUGUAACGGGGCUAAACCAUGCAC
rnacentral:rRNA from 1 species